rnacentral:rRNA from 1 species
CCUACGGGGUGCAGCAGUGAGGAAUAUUGGUCAAUGGGCGCGAGCAUGAACCAGCCAAGUAGCGUGAAGGAUGACUGCCCUACGGGUUGUAAACUUCUUUUAUAAAGGAAUAAAGUGAGGCACGUGUGCCUUUUUGUAUGCACUUUAUGAAUAAGGAUGGGCUAACUCCGUGCCAGCGGCCGCGGUAAUACGGAGGAUCGGAGCGUUAUCCGGGUUUAUUGGGUUUAAAGGGAGCGUAGAUGGGUUGUUAAGUCAGUUGGGAAAGUUUGCGGCUCAACCGUAAAAUUGCAAUUGAUACUGGCAGCCUUGAGUACAGUUGAGGUAGGCGGAAUUCGUGGUGUAGCGGUGAAAUGCUUAGAUAUCACGAAGAACUCCGAUUGCGAAGGCAGCUUACUAAACUGCCACUGACAUUGAUGCUCGAAAGUGUGGGUAUCAAACAGGAUUAGAUACCCUUGUAGUC